rnacentral:misc_RNA from 1 species
AAGUCGUAACAAGGUAACCGUAGGUGAACCUGCGGUUGGAUCAUUACUGAAGAUGAUUAGCGGUUCUUUUUAUCUACUAGAUAAAUCCCGCUAUGAAUCCAACCCCUUGUGAACAAUAACCGUAUUUUGGCGGCCCUCCAAACCCGCGUCUUACCUCUUAAUUGAGCAUAGAUGCGAUGGGCUGUCAGCCUUUGUUUUAACGCUUAUGUUUGUAAUUAUAUAUGUCUCCAAUGAGUUUCAAUUUUUGAAUCUUGUUUUUUAUAAAUGAAUAAACAACUUUUGACAACGGAUCUCUUGGCUCUC